AUACGGAGGGUGCAAGCGUUACUGGGAAUCACUGGGCGUAAAGCGCGCGCAGGCGGCUUGAUAAGUUAGAUGUGAAAGCCUACGGCUCAACCGUAGAACUGCAUCCAAAACUGUCAGGCUAGAGUGUGGGAGAGGAAGAUGGAAUUAGUUGUGUAGGGGUAAAAUCCGUAGAGAUAACUAGGAAUACCAAAAGCGAAGGCAAUCUUCUGGAACACUACUGACGCUGAGGCGCGAAGGCGUGGGGAGCAAACAGGAUUAGAAACCCUAGUAGUCC
rnacentral:rRNA from 1 species